CAGCAAUCCCCACAGGGUUUAAUGAUGGCUUAAGACCCCCUUCUAGUGAAUUUGAAGCAAUGGAGACAGUCUUAGAUCUUUUGCUGCAAGUGAUGCAUGAAUUAAAAAGAGUGAGAGGUGGUUAAUGGUGGUUUUUAAGGAUUUUGUAGGAAAUGUAUAUGGUGAAUCAUCCGGACGAUGAUUUGACAAGUGGGGGGUGGAUGUGGCAUUGAGCUCUGGUUAAAUGGGGAGGGGCGGAGGAACUGUGCAUAUAUUUAAGGGGGAUUAGCACGGACUGAUUUAAGUGAUGCACCAAACUCAUGCGGUGAAGACGCCACAUAAAUACGGUGCUGGGAAUGAAUUGGAUCGUAAGCGCUCCCGAGAACCCCGGUAACCAGAGCAGCCUGGGUGUAAAAUGGGUGUUUUAAAGAUUGCCUCGGUUUUGAUUUAAUUUGUCCUAAUUUUUGGUUGAAUAAUUGGGUUAUUCAGAAUUGAUUUGUUCUGGAGUUGUUUGGUUUUUUUCUUUAAGAGAUUGCUGUUUGUGUCAUGCCUUCCUGAGGAAGGCGGAUGUUUAAACUAGAUUUUAGAGCCUUUGUAUCAAUAAAAGGAGUAUUUAUUAGGA